rnacentral:rRNA from 1 species
GUGGGGAAUAUUGGACAAUGGGGGGAACCCUGAUCCAGCCAUGCCGCGUGUGUGAAGAAGGCCUUUUGGUUGUAAAGCACUUUAAGCGAGGAGGAGGCUACCGAGAUUAAUACUCUUGGAUAGUGGACGUACUCGCAGAAUAAGCACCGGCUAACUCUGUGCCAGCAGCCGCGGUAAUACAGAGGGUGCAAGCGUUAAUCGGAUUUACUGGGCGUAAAGCGCGCGUAGGUGGCCAAUUAAGUCAAAUGUGAAAUCCCCGAGCUUAACUUGGGAAUUGCAUUCGAGACUGGUUGGCUAGAGUAUGGGAGAGGAUGGUAGAAUUCCAGGUGUAGCGGUGAAAUGCGUAGAGAUCUGGAGGAAUACCGAUGGCGAAGGCAGCCAUCUGGCCUAAUACUGACACUGAGGUGCGAAAGCAUGGGGAGCAAACAGGAUUAGAUACCCUGGUAGUCC